rnacentral:rRNA from 1 species
UACAGAGGUCCCGAGCGUUGUCCGGAUUUAUUGGGCGUAAAGAGCUCGUAGGUGGUUCGGUAAGUCGGAUGUGAAAUCUCCAGGCUCAACCUGGAGGGGUCAUUCGAUACUGCCGUGACUAGAGUUCGGUAGAGGAGUGUGGAAUUCCUGGUGGAGCGGUGAAAUGCGCAGAUAUCGAGAGGAACACCGGUGGCGAAGGCGGCUAUCUGGACAGUGACUGACGCUGAGACGCGAAAGCGUGGGGAGCAAACAGG